rnacentral:lncRNA from 1 species
CUUUUCACCAGCUUUUUUCCCCUCAAGCCAGUAGACCCCAGACUCCAAAUGCAGAUCUUCAGGAGAAAUACUAAAGGAAUUCCUCCAAGGGCCGGGGAUUUAGCUCAGUGGUGCUGCACCUGCCUCGGAAGUGUAAGGUCCUGAGUUUGAUCCCUGGUACCAGAAAAAGAAAUUCCUCAGAGGAGUGGAUGAAGCUUGGCUAAAAGAAGUUAGGAUCAUUAAAGGCACUCAUUCAAAUUCGAACAAAAAAGCCCACAUACCCACACGCUUUCAUACAUACAUGCAUGCUAUGCACAUUGCCUGGCUGACAUUGCAAACUGCACUCUCACCUAGAUUCAAGCCUCUACAGACACUUAGAAGAUGCUCCCUUUGAGUUUCAUCUUCCUUCUCCAGCAGCUGCCUCUAGUAGGGUGCAAUUUCCCUUAUAAUGACUGCCUUCUCAGCAGGAGCCCCAACCUGCACAGGAUGGUCGGCGGAUUUUCUCCCUUUAUACUUAGUCUAUUUCACUGAGGUCACUGGUGUGAAGCCUAGUAAGGACUUAUUUAUCAUACGAUUUCUGGAACAUUUGGUUCCCUGACCAGGAAUCGGGAAUGCAAUAGUCCUUUUGGGCAUUGGCCCGAGCCUCACUGGAGGGAGCUGCUCUCUGUCCCCUCAAGACAAAAGGCGUGCUCCUGGGACAAAUUUCCUAGGCUCCCCAACAGGACACAGAGACCCGCUCACUGGUUGCAGAUUGCCUGAACCUGAGACAGAGAAGGAGAGAAGGAGGGCUGCUGCUGUUGGUGUCUCAUCUGUCUCUCUCCUUUGCUGGGCUUUACAAGUGCUAAGUUACUUAACCUGGCCCGGGCCGAUUGAUCCAGAACUCGCGCUGAGAUACUGUUUCUCAUUUCUGCUUCCCUGUGCUUUGCUUCCUGUUGUGCU